CCAGACUCCUACGGGAGGCAGCAGUGGGGAAUAUUGCACAAUGGGGGAAACCCUGAUGCAGCGACGCCGCGUGAGCGAUGAAGUAUUUCGGUAUGUAAAGCUCUAUCAGCAGGGAAGAAAAUGACGGUACCUGACUAAGAAGCCCCGGCUAACUACGUGCCAGCAGCCGCGGUAAUACGUAGGGGGCAAGCGUUAUCCGGAUUUACUGGGUGUAAAGGGAGCGUAGACGGCGAAGCAAGCCUGAAGUGAAAACCCGGGGCUCAACCCUGGGACUGCUUUGGAAACUGUUUUGCUAGAGUGUCGGAGAGGUAAGUGGAAUUCCUAGUGUAGCGGUGAAAUGCGUAGAUAUUAGGAGGAACACCAGUGGCGUAGGCGGCUUACUGG
rnacentral:rRNA from 1 species